UACGAAGGGUGCAAACGUUGCUCGGAAUCAUUGGGGCGUAAAGCGCACGUAGGCGGCUUCAAAAGUCGGAUGUGAAAUCCCUCGGCUCAACCGAGGACGUGCAUCCGAAACUGCGGAGCUUGAGUAUGGAAGAGGGUCGCGGAAUUCCCGGUGUAGAGGUGAAAUUCGUAGAUAUCAGGAGGAACACCGGUGGCGAAGGCGGGUCUCUGGGCCGAUACUGACGCUGGAGGAGCGAAAGCGUGGGGGAGCGAACAGG
rnacentral:rRNA from 1 species